AUUGAACGCUGGCGGCAGGCCUAACACAUGCAAGUCGAGCGAGCGGCGGACGGGUGAGUAAUGUAUGGGGAUCUGCCUGAUGGAGGGGGAUAACUACUGGAAACGGUAGCUAAUACCGCAUACUAUCGGAUGAACCCAGAUGGGAUUAGCUAGUAGGUGAGGUAACGGCUCACCUAGGCGACGAUCCCUAGCUGGGCUGAGAGGAUGACCAGCCACACUGGGACUGAGACACGGUCCAGACUCCUACGGGAGGCAGCAGUGGGGAAUAUUGCACAAUGGGCGCAAGCCUGAUGCAGCCAUGCCGCGUGUAUGAAGAAGGCCUUCGGGUUGUAAAGUACUUUCAGCCGGGAGGCGUUACCGGCAGAAGAAGCACCGGCUAACUCCGUGCCAGCAGCCGCGGUAAUAC
rnacentral:rRNA from 1 species